UUAUGUUUUCUGAAAAGUUCAGACCAUAUUUGUUUGAUCCAAAUCCCUAACCCCAAAGUCCCACCCCCUUCAUCACUCUCUCUCUCUCUCUCUCGAUCUCUCUCACUCAGCGCACGUUUCUCUCUCCGGCAGCUCUCUCUCCGGCCCUCCUAUCACUCUCCGGCGCACUCAACUCUCUCCGGUAGCUAUCUCCGUCGAUCUAAACCCAUCCAAGCAGUGAAGGGGCAAUCAAACCCUCGGCGACCGUUUCUGUCAGUGUCUCUCUCGCUCAUUCAGGCCGCAUAGAGAUGAAAGAUAGCAGAGAUGCUGUCAAGAACGAUAAAGCCUCAAAAUCCUCAGCUGUUAGCUCUCUCCCACUCAUUCUUGAUGUGGAUGACUUUAAGUGUUUGAUUGAUUCAGAAUGAACCAAAGAGGGUGGAUUGCGCUCGAUAGCCGCUUGAGUAAUUAAUCUCAAGAAGGAGGUCUCUGUCCAAGAUUCUAAGCACCGCAAGACACUCGCUGAGCUGGAAAAAGGUGUAGAUGGAUUGUUUGAUAGCUUUGCAAGGUUGGACUCACGUAUUUCAAGUGUUGGACAGACUGCUGCAAAGAUCGGAGAUCAUUUGCAGAGUGCAGAUGCUCAGCGAGAAACUGCUAGUCAAACAAUAGAGCUUAUAAAGUAUUUGAUGGAGUUCAACAGCAGCCCAGGAGACCUAAAAUCGCUUGGAGUCAUAGGCUUUCUUAUCCUUUUCAGUGGUGUUUGUCCUUGUGUAGAACUGGAGAACAGAUUGCUUGCUCGUUUUGAUGCAGCAUCACAGCGGAGAGAAUUGUCUUCAAUGGCUGAAUGUGCUAAAAUUUUAUCUCAGGUAAAUACUUUUGUUAGGUCUGAUAUGUAAUAAUUUAAUUAUUAUUGAUUUUAAACUUAAUAGCUUCAUUAAGUAGCUCUUCCUUCCCUC